rnacentral:rRNA from 1 species
GACGGUUGUCCCGGUUUAAGCGUGUAGGCUGGUUUUCCAGGCAAAUCCGGAAAAUCAAGGCUGAGGCGUGAUGACGAGGCACUACGGUGCUGAAGCAACAAAUGCCCUGCUUCCAGGAAAAGCCUCUAAGCAUCAGGUAACAUCAAAUCGUACCCCAAACCGACACAGGUGGUCAGGUAGAGAAUACCAAGGCGCUUGAGAGAACUCGGGUGAAGGAACUAGGCAAAAUGGUGCCGUAACUUCGGGAGAAGGCACGCUGAUAUGUAGGUGAAGUCCCUCGCGGAUGGAGCUGAAAUCAGUCGAAGAUACCAGCUGGCUGCAACUGUUUAUUAAAAACACAGCACUGUGCAAACACGAAAGUGGACGUAUACGGUGUGACGCCUGCCCGG